GUCUGGGAAACUGCCUGAUGGAGGGGGAUAACUACUGGAAACGGUAGCUAAUACCGCAUAACGUCGCAAGACCAAAGAGGGGGACCUUCGGGCCUCUUGCCAUCAGAUGUGCCCAGAUGGGAUUAGCUAGUAGGUGGGGUAAUGGCUCACCUAGGCGACGAUCCCUAGCUGGUCUGAGAGGAUGACCAGCCACACUGGAACUGAGACACGGUCCAGACUCCUACGGGAGGCAGCAGUGGGGAAUAUUGCACAAUGGGCGCAAGCCUGAUGCAGCCAUGCCGCGUGUGUGAAGAAGGCCUUCGGGUUGUAAAGCACUUUCAGCGAGGAGGAAGGUGGUGAGCUUAAUACGCUCAUCAAUUGACGUUACUCGCAGAAGAAGCACCGGCUAACUCCGUGCCAGCAGCCGCGGUAAUACGGAGGGUGCAAGCGUUAAUCGGAAUUACUGGGCGUAAAGCGCACGCAGGCGGUUUGUUAAGUCAGAUGUGAAAUCCCCGGGCUCAACCUGGGAACUGCAUUUGAAACUGGCAAGCUAGAGUCUCGUAGAGGGGGGUAGAAUUCCAGGUGUAGCGGUGAAAUGCGUAGAGAUCUGGAGGAAUACCGGUGGCGAAGGCGGCCCCCUGGACGAAGACUGACGCUCAGGUGCGAAAGCGUGGGGAGCAAACAGGAU
rnacentral:rRNA from 1 species